CACUGAUUUUGUUAGUCUUUGGUGCUUUUAUUUAAAAAGUAUGAAUGUAUUUGUCUUUGUUAUCACAAAAUAAUUUACAUGACAGAACUAUUGUUAAUGAUUUCUGGACGUCAGUCAGUCACGUUCAUAAUCAUUAAAAUUAUUACUGCAUUAAAAAUGUAGUUGACAUAAAAGCAAGAUAAAUAAUAGAUUCAUAAAAAAUGUUACAAAAAUGAGAGUGCUAUUAAGAAUAAAAUGGGUUGUUGUAAAGGCGGAUGCACCAAUGAUAACUGGGAAGUGUUCAUCGAUGACCACAAGAUUCAUGGGUUUAUUGUCGGGCUUGUCAUAAUAGCAGUAUUCUUGGCGUACAGAUUAUUUCGUUGUCAUCACCCGCGCCGACGUCUCUUGUGUUGGUGAAAUAAAAUGCUUAAAAACGAUACUUGAAGCAUUACUUUGGAAAUACGCAUCUUUGGCAACUUCAAAUAACUUUAAGCUAUUCUUCUCGCCCGUUUCUCGUACCAUACUAGAAAGGUGACUAUUGGGAUCGGACAUAAGAAUGUAUGGAUGAUCGAAUUCUGCCACCUCUCCGGUACUCAUUACCAGAACUCGGUCCGAAUCCAUGAUCGUGUUCAAGCGAUGUGCAAUAGUCAAUACGGUACAUGAAGCAAAAGCACGCCGUAUAGUCUGCUGAAUGAAAUUAUCCGUUCUGAAAAUUGAAGAAAGAUUUUAGAGAUAUACUCGGUAGCCUAUCAACAAUUGGCGCGUCAGCUGAUACAAAACUCACUGAGGAUCAACGUUGGCUGUGGCCUCGUCCAUAAUUAAAAUUUUAUUGGAUCUGAGUAUGGCUCGUGCCAAGCACAUCAGCUGUCUUUGGCCCACGGAGAAGUUAGAUCCACCUUCUGUCACUUUGAAAUCCAACGAAGGAACGGCCGCUUUCAUGUCCACCUAAAACCACGUAAAUGUUUCUCUUACCCGAAAAACUACUCUAGUUAAUAAAAAUUAAUAUAA